ACGUGGGAACAUACCCUUCGGUUCGGAAUAACUCAGGGAAACUUGAGCUAAUACCGGAUACGUCCGCGAGGAGAAAGAUCCAUCGCCGAAGGAUUGGCCCGCGUCUGAUUAGCUAGUUGGUGAGGUAACGGCUCACCAAGGCGACGAUCAGUAGCUGGUCUGAGAGGAUGAUCAGCCACAUUGGGACUGAGACACGGCCCAAACUCCUACGGGAGGCAGCAGUGGGGAAUAUUGGACAAUGGGCGAAAGCCUGAUCCAGCAACACCGCGUGAGCGAGGAAGGUCUUCGGAUCGUAAAGCU
rnacentral:rRNA from 1 species